GAUGAACGCUGGCGGCGUGCCUAAUACAUGCAAGUCGAACGCUUCACUUCGGUGAAGAGUGGCGAACGGGUGAGUAAUACAUAAGUAACCUGGCAUCUACAGGGGGAUAACUGAUGGAAACGUCAGCUAAGACCGCAUAGGUGUAGAGAUCGCAUGAACUCUAUAUGAAAAGUGCUACGGGACUGGUAGAUGAUGGACUUAUGGCGCAUUAGCUGGUUGGUAGGGUAACGGCCUACCAAGGCGACGAUGCGUAGCCGACCUGGGAGGGUGACCGGCCAAACUGGGACUGAGACACGGCCCAGACUCCUACGGGAGGCAGCAGUAGGGAAUUUUCGGAAAUGGGGGGAAACCCUGACCGAGCAACGCCGCGUGAAGGAAGAAGUAAUUCGUUAUGUAAACUUCUGUCAUAGAGGAAGAACGGUGGAUAUAGGGAAUGAUAUCCAAGUGACGGUACUCUAUAAGAAAGCCACGGCUAACUACGUGCCAGCCGCCGCCGUAA
rnacentral:rRNA from 1 species